AGUGAACGCUGGCGGUAGGCCUAACACAUGCAAGUCGAACGGCAGCACAGUAAGAGCUUGCUCUUACGGGUGGCGAGUGGCGGACGGGUGAGGAAUACAUCGGAAUCUACUUUUUCGUGGGGGAUAACGUAGGGAAACUUACGCUAAUACCUCAUACGACCUACGGGUGAAUGCAGGGGAUCUUCGGACCUUGCGCGAUUGAAUGAGCCGAUGUCGGAUUAGCUAGUUGGCGGGGUAAAGGCCCACCAAGGCGACGAUCCGUAGCUGGUCUGAGAGGAUGAUCAGCGACACUGGAACUGAGACACGGUCCAGACUCCUACGGGAGGCAGCUGUGGGGAAUAUUGGGGAAUGUGCGAAAGCCUGAUCCAGCCAUACCGCGUGGGUGAAGAAGGCCUUCGGGUUGUAAAGCCCUUUUGUUGGGAAAGAAAAGCAGCAGGUUAAUCCCCCGCUGUUCUGACGGUACCCAAAGAAUAAGCACCGGCUAACUUCGUG
rnacentral:rRNA from 1 species